GUCCCUGGCGGUGCAAAAGGUGAAUGCACUUGGCUGCUAACCAAAAAUGUGAUGGUUCGAGUCCACCCAGGGCUG
rnacentral:tRNA from 1 species